CUUUUGACCUCGGAUCAGGUAGGGAUACCCGCUGAACUUAAGCAUAUCAAUAAGCGGAGGAAAAGAAACCAACAGGGAUUGCCCUAGUAACGGCGAGUGAAGCGGCAACAGCUCAAAUUUGAAAUCUGGCUCUUUUAGAGUCCGAGUUGUAAUUUGCAGAGGGCGCUUUGGCUUUGGCAGCGGUCCAAGUUCCUUGGAACAGGACGUCACAGAGGGUGAGAAUCCCGUACGUGGUCGCUGGCUAUUGCCGUGUAAAGCCCCUUCGACGAGUCGAGUUGUUUGGGAAUGCAGCUCUAAAUGGGAGGUACAUUUCUUCUAAAGCUAAAUAUUGGCCAGAGACCGAUAGCGCACAAGUAGAGUGAUCGAAAGAUGAAAAGCACUUUGGAAAGAGAGUCAAACAGCACGUGAAAUUGUUGAAAGGGAAGCGCUUGCAGCCAGACUUGCUUACAGUUGCUCAUCCGGGUUUCUACCCGGUGCACUCUUCUGUAGGCAGGCCAGCAUCAGUUUGGGCGGUAGGAUAAAGGUCUCUGUCACGUACCUCCUUUCGGGGAGGCCUUAUAGGGGAGACGACAUACUACCAGCCUGGACUGAGG
rnacentral:rRNA from 2 species